UCCCCCCGGGAGAUUAGCAUUCCAUUAGCGGAGGAAAAGAAACCAACAGGGAUUGCCCCAGUAACGGCGAGUGAAGCGGCAACAGCUCAAAUUUGAAAUCUGGCUCCUAGAGUCCGAGUUGUAAUUUGUAGAGGAUGCUUUUGAUGCGGUGCCUUCCGAGUUCCCUGGAACGGGACGCCAUAGAGGGUGAGAGCCCCGUCUGGUCGGAUGCCAAAUCUCUGUAAAGCUCCUUCGACGAGUCGAGUAGUUUGGGAAUGCUGCUCUAAAUGGGAGGUAUAUGUCUUCUAAAGCUAAAUAUUGGCCAGAGACCGAUAGCGCACAAGUAGAGUGAUCGAAAGAUGAAAAGCACUUUGAAAAGAGGGUUAAAUAGUACGUGAAAUUGUUGAAAGGGAAGCGCCUAUGACCAGACUUGGGCCCGGUGAAUCAUCCAGCGUUCUCGCUGGUGCACUUUGCCGGGCACAGGCCAGCAUCAGUUUGUCUUGGGGGAAAAAGGCUUUGGGAACGUGGCUCCCUCGGGAGUGUUAUAGACCAUUGCAUAAUACCCUGGGACGGACUGAGGUUCGCGCAUCUGCAAGGAUGCUGGCGUAAUGGUCAUCAGCGACCCGUCUUGAAACACGGACCAAGGAGUCGUCUUCGUAUGCGAGUGUUCGGGUGUAAAACCCCUACGCGUAAUGAAAGUGAACGCAGGUGAGAGCUUCGGCGCAUCAUCGACCGAUCCUGAUGUUCUCGGAUGGAUUUGAGUAAGAGCAUACGGGGCCGGACCCGAAAGAAGGUGAACUAUUCCUGUAUAGGGUGAAGCCAGAGGAAACUCUGGUGGAGGCUCGCAGCGGUUCUGACGUGCGAAUCGAUCGUCAAAUAUGGGAAUGGGGGCGAAAGACUAAUCGAACCUUCUAGUAACUGGUUUCCGCCAAU
rnacentral:rRNA from 1 species